ACCAAAUUUUCAAAAAAGUACAAUUGAAUCCCAAAUAACUAAUUAAAAAGAUAAGAUUGAAAAUAAAAAAUCUCUUUUUUCUCCCACGUACCCCAUUCUUCUUCUCCUCCACCACCCCCUCCCUUUCAACAAAGUUUAAGGUUCAUACUCUAUCCCAUAGACCUUAAGUUCUCACAUUCAUCAAUGGGUCAAAAAAAUUCCAAGAACAUUCCGACUCCGUCCAUUGUGGUGGGGAUGGUGGCAGUGAAAAAUUCACCAUUCUUUACAUACAUAUUCCCAUGUAGUGGACUCAACUCUAACAGUAUAAUUAACUUGAGUCAUAUAUUUCCAAAGGGGGCUCCCAUUGAUGACAUGAGUACUCAAACAUUAUCAACGCGAUGUUGACAGUGAUAACGUGUAAGACGUUUUAUCAAGGUCAAGGGCUGAAAUUGAUGAAGAGAGCUAUAUCAAAACCUUCCAUAGAUGUUGCAUCUCCUUCUUUCCUACAUUCAUCAGAUAAACUGAACCAAUCCCUCGUCGAUGUUCCCCUCAAUGGCGACUAUUAUCCUUCUUGGCGUCUUGUCAUAACCCGAGCCCUGAAUGCCAAAAACAAGCUUGGUUUUGUCCUUGACACCGUUAAACAUCCAACAGAUGAUCGUCGUUGUUCAACUUUGGGAUCGAUUUUGUAAUAUGACUGUUAUCUUACAUGGAGUCUCAUCUACUAUGAUAAACCACACGAUCUUUGGACCGAAUUGGAGACUCGGUUUCAAAAGAGCAAAAAACCAAGAUCUUCAGGCUCGAGCAUGAACUGGCCAAUCUCCACCAAGACCAAUAGUCCAUCACCGAUUACAGUAAAUUGAAAGAACUUUGGGAUGAACUAUUUUCCCUACAACUAAUCACUCCAUGUACCUGCGGCGCAAACAAAUUCCCUUCUGAAAUUCAAGAUUCUGAUCGAGUCUACCAAUUCCUAACGGGCUUGAAUGAUAGCUUUCAAUAACUCCGAUCACAAAUCCUAGCCACAGAUCCCCUUUCUUCAAUUGGGCGUUGUUAUGUAAUACUGCACCAAGAAGAAACAUAACGGUUGGUCCAAAUCCCUUCUUGCUCAGAGAUGUUGGCUUUCCUCACUCACUCAAUACCUCAAUAAAACUCACGUCGACCCCGUCGCACUUGGCUAGCUAGAACACCGCUUUGUGAGGAGUGUGGGAAACCCGAUCAUUUUUGUGCAAAGUACUUUAAGAUUCUUGGUUACCCAGACUGGUGACCAUCAAAAAAUAAGAGCAACCCACUGAUAGCUAGGUCUUCAUCGCACGCGCUUGUGCACCAAGCUGUCAUACGUAACUCUGUACCUUCAUUUAGCUUGGACAGCUCUGAGCCCAGCAAUCUGAAUGGGUUUUUUUUUACCUUAAAU
rnacentral:lncRNA from 1 species